rnacentral:rRNA from 1 species
GUAACCUACGGGGGGCAGCAGUGAGGAAUAUUGGUCAAUGGGCGGGAGCCUGAACCAGCCAAGUCGCGUGAGGGAAGACGGUCCUAUGGAUUGUAAACCUCUUUAGGCGGGGAGCAAUGCCGGGCACGUGUGCCCGGAGGGAGAGUACCCGCAGAAUAAGCAUCGGCUAACUCCGUGCCAGCAGCCGCGGUAAUACGGAGGAUGCGAGCGUUGUCCGGAUUUAUUGGGUGUAAAGGGCGUGUAGCCGGGCUGACAAGUCAGAUGUGAAAUCCGGGGGCUCAACCCCCGAACUGCAUUUGAAACUG